UUAAACAAGACCCACUAUCCCAUGACAAUCCACAUCCAAGACCUCAAUCACUUUUCCCGUUCAGACCCAUCUCCCAAACCCUCUUCCCUUAUAUGCUCAAUACUGAGAAAACCCUUUUUGCGUAUCACCCAUCUUGCAAACCCCUAAUCUCGUAUCUGCUCUUCUUCAAACCCCAGUCCCGAAACCUCUUUCCUGUUCAGACCCGUCUCCCAAAGCUCAAUCGCCAUCCUCAGCCGCAUCCUCUCAAUUUCUUGCUCCAAAGUUCACAUUCCAGGAAGUGUCCAUCUUAAUUGGGUGCUUGUAUAUUUUUGGGUUUUUCUUGUUCUUUCGAUUCAUGUGGAGAAAGCUUUCGAUGAAGGAUUGUGCGCUUUUGACCCCAACCCUAAAGCGGCCGUCUCUGAAAAUCCAAUCGCAUUUUAAUACUUAACCACUUUGGAAAGACAAGUUGAGGGAGAACUGUUACAAAAGGGUGCACGAGGAUAGGAAUCGCUUGCUUUGGGAAAUGAGGUUGCCCACUGCUAAAUCUCUUGGUGAUAAGAAAUUUAUCAAACCUGCAUUCCUGGUAUUCACAAUGCUUAUCAAAGUGAAUAUGAGGAGAUAUUGAAAGUAACACUAAAUGAUCUUCUAUGAAGAUCUCGGGGCAGAACCAACAAGAAAAGGUAAAUUUUG